rnacentral:lncRNA from 1 species
UGAUUUUGAAGGCAUGCCAGGCUUUUUAUUGUAGAAUUUAUGCAUAUUAUAGAAUUAUGCCGGAUCAUACGUACUCUGUAUGCGUUUGGGAGAAGCAAGGCAAGCUGUUCCCACCGUAGGGGGAAGAAAGACUGCGCUUGGUCUGAUUUUGCGCGCUGUGAAGCUGCGCCGGAGCUACACUCGUUGGGAUGCGGGAGGCGAGCUGCGUGACGCGCGGCGACGAGAGGCUCCACCGCGCACGUGGCCGCGCGGAAGGAAGCGCUGCGGAUUCCGCGGCUGCAGGCGAACUCUAGCGGCAAACGACAGGCGUCGGCUGUCCGUGGUGCUGAACGAACGCGUCGGCUCGGCCACGGAGAAGACGCGUCUGCGCCUUAUUCUCUCUCUGCCUCUCCUUUGCACGGAGGUACAGCUGCGCGCGACACGUUUUCGCCUCUUCAUCGAUGGCGGGAGGCCGAUAUAUCGGUGUUCGGGAAAACGUGCGGGCAACGGAUGUCUCGGGGAAAUCCAGCGCGCGCCGGAGUGUGUCGGAGGGAGAGGGCAGGCAGAGCCGAGGCUCCUCACUGCGUCAGGCGCGAGCCUCAAAGAGCCAUUAAACGGAAUGUGAUUAAUUCAAGGCAAAAACCCUGCUUCGGUGCCCCGCUUCCCAGUGGCCCUCAGCGCUCCAGCAUCAGGCUUUCCGCCACGGAGCAGCACAGCUUUUUUUUGGUUUUGUCACCAAACUCCAAACCCAUAGCCACAUUUUUGCACCCUUUGCCAGUGGUUGUAAUUUGUCAUGAUUUUGUUGCAAUGCUUAACUGGAGAACUUUGCAGCAGGCAGGGGGAUGUUGAUCCAGAGGUCUGGUAGUGGGACAUGUGGGUUAAAUCUCAUGAUCAGGUUCUUAGGCAGUGUAAGGCUAUGGAUGGUGUGAGUUCAGCACAGAUCUCUGUAGGGUAAAUCUAAAUCCGUCACAUGGAAUGUACCACGUGUCGGCAAAACAAAACCAUCAACGGAAAAGCGUAAUUCUGGUAUUGCAUACCUACCAGCUAGGUAAGGCUAGAAUGGGAUGGAUAUUUUGAUGUCACAUGAAUAAGCCUGUUUCAUAAUCAAAGCCUUAAUUUCAAAACAUGCUUUAUAAUCCAAAUGUGUGUAAAUCCUUAUUUUAGACUGUUGUAAAAUGGAUUAAAAUGUAUUAAAAAAAAAACUGUUGCUAUCAACUGCACUCAAUCAACAUUUUGACCAAAGACAUGGUAGCCUACAUAGGAAAAUAAAAGAAAUGGAC